CCGUGCUAGGUGGGGAGCUAGCGGUGCCCUGUAACUCACAAUCCGCUAUAGUGAGGCUGAUCAACAGAUAUGAGGCUUAUGAUAGUAAGGUUUAGCGCUUGUGUAAGUGAUGUUGAAAGUCUGGUCUUGUGCGGCGGAAAGUUACAAACCCCGUCAGAUCCGAGAGGAAGCAGCGGUAAGUAAUAUUCUCCGGGUGCCACAAGGAAGCCUGGCUGGAGUCAAUUACAUGAGUUGCACUUGUUAUUAUAAGUCGAAAUCUGCGGCACGG
rfam:Actinobacteria bacterium RBG_19FT_COMBO_36_27 rbg_19ft_combo_scaffold_20091, whole genome shotgun sequence.